rnacentral:rRNA from 1 species
AACGAACGCUGGCGGCAUGCCUAACACAUGCAAGUCGAACGAGACCUUCGGGUCUAGUGGCGCACGGGUGCGUAACGCGUGGGAACCUGCCCUUAGGUUCGGAAUAACUCCCCGAAAGGGGUGCUAAUACCGGAUAAUGUCUUCGGACCAAAGAUUUAUCGCCUUUGGAUGGGCCCGCGUUGGAUUAGCUAGUUGGUAGGGUAAAAGCCUACCAAGGCGACGAUCCAUAGCUGGUCUGAGAGGAUGAGCAGCCACACUGGGACUGAGACACGGCCCAGACUCCUACGGGAGGCAGCAGUGGGGAAUAUUAGACAAUGGGCGAAAGCCUGAUCCAGCAAUGCCGCGUGAGUGAUGAAGGCCUUAGGGUUGUAAAGCUCUUUUACCCGGGAUGAUAAUGACAGUACCGGGAGAAUAAGCUCCGGCUAACUCCGUG